AAUGAGAAAAGAAAAGGUUCUAUGAACAAUUUACAUAUUAACUUUAUUUUUCUUAAGCUUCUAAGAUUUAGAACACAGCAACUUGACAACUAAUCAAAUAUGUGCAUAUUUAAUUCUAUGAAAAACAAGGUAAUUUUAAUGUCAAAAAACUUAUUUUACUCAAAACUUCCAAGUAUUAUUUCAAGGAAGCAACAGAUAGUAAUCUUGAUUAUGCGAAAAAUUUUAUUUCUAUUUUUGCCACUAUUUUAUAUUUAAAGGAGUUGUACAACCAUAACUAGCUAGAAUUAAAAUUACAUAUAAAUCCCAUAAAAGAAUAAUUAUAUUAUUUGAAAAUAGAAAGUAGAAAUUUACCAAAAAUUACCACUUGGUAAAUAACGAGGAGCAAAAUCAUGCAGAUUUAGCAUCAAAAGAAACCAUCUUAAUAACAAAAGGCAUGAUACCACAAUAAGCAGUAAUUGAAGAUUUAGAAUUUGAGUAUUAAUAAUUCACCAACUCUGAAAUGGUAGCUUACCCAAGA
rnacentral:misc_RNA from 1 species